rnacentral:rRNA from 1 species
CACGUAGGGCGCAAGCGUUGUCCGGAAUUAUUGGGCGUAAAGAGCUCGUAGGCGGUCUGUUGCGUCCGCUGUGAAAACUCGGGGCUUAACCCCGAGCCUGCAGUGGAUACGGGCAGACUAGAGGUAGGUAGGGGAGAAUGGAAUUCCCGGUGUAGCGGUGAAAUGCGCAGAUAUCGGGAAGAACACCCGUGGCGAAGGCGACGUCCUGGACCGGCAUUGACGCUGAGGCGCGAAAGCCAGGGGAGCAAACGGG